rnacentral:lncRNA from 1 species
AAGAUGCCUACUUCUGUGCCAUAAUGGAGUGUGAAGUAAAGUACAUUUGCUCAGUUGUUGGUCCAGUCCUGAGAAAAAUUAGGGCACCUAUGAAUGUUUUUAUUUUCCUGUAUGUUUUAUAAAUUAGGCUGUACCCAAGAAUUGUAACACUAAUUAGGAAAGCUUCCCCAGUAUAUAGUUUUCAUCUGCAUUCAGAAAAUAGUAAUACUAUCUGAUGCUUUAACAUCCAGUUGGCAGAUCUGGUAGAGCACUUGCCUAUAUAGUAUAUCAGCUUGAAUUCUACCAAGUUUUAAUCUCCAAUUAUGAUUACCUUUAUGUUUGAGUGAUAGUAUUAUUUUGUUUUUUAAAACAUUAGGUAUUAGAUAUGUGUUUUACAGCUAGUCUUCAUUCAAAUAUUUCUUUCUGUGAAAAAGUCUAUCUGUUUUUCUCUUUCUAGUUAGAGGAAAUCCAGUCUUUAAAACUGGAAGCAAGGGGGCAGGAAAGAUGGCUCAGUGGUUAAGAGCACUGGCUGCUCUUGUAGAGGGUUGGAGUUCGGUUUUCAGCACCCACAUUAGGCAGUCGUAACACCCUGGAACUCCUGUUUUAGGGAGUAUUAUGAUUUUUCUUGCUUUCAAAGGUACUCAGACACAUGCAUAUACCACACAGACACACACACACACACACACACACACACACACACACACACACACAGACACACACACACAGACACAGACACACACAGACACACACACAGACACACACACACAUAGACACACAGACACAGACACACACAGACAGACACACACACAGACACACACACACAGACACACACAGACACACACAGACACACACACACACACACACACACCUUUUACCAAAUGAACUCAAUUAAAAUGCUACUAGUGAAAACCAAUUAUUCAGCUGUUAAAUGAGAAAUCAUCCCUUGGAAUGAGGAAAGUAAUGGGCACAACAAGAGAUGGAUGAACUAGAUCCAUGUGUUCCUGUCUGUAGAUGAGGAACUCUGGUGAGUCUUCGGAGUUCCCGAGCAAGUCUUAUGAACCCAUCCACAGAGCAGGCACGGACCUCUCAGGGAGUGCACUCUUGAUCCCACAUAAGGAGGAGCUGUUUGGACAAUGUGGAGACUUCAGAAAAGCCUGUGUAGAAGCUGUUCCAGCCACAGCAAUGUGACAGCGUUUCAGGCAAUUUUAUUGUAGGACCUCUUUCCCAGGAAAGAAGAACACCCUAAUCCCUCAAUAAACUCUCAACAAUGUACAAGGUAUAAUCUAUUUCUGUCUUUUCCAGGAUCAAGGAAUUCAAACAUUAACCAGCAGCACAAACCAAGACACUUCUCCAUUCCUUCUUGCUUCCUCUCCCCACCAAAUUUCCUUCCUGAUCCUGCUCUUUCCUAGGACUUUGGAGAGGACUGAGAUUACUCAAAGUGCCACGAGACACCAGCCAUUGAUCUUACACAGGCUGCAACCCAGCUCAUAUUAGUAUUUAUAUUAAAAUUAUCUAACAAAUAAAACUAAUAAAAGGAAGAAUGUAUUAAAUAUCUUUCCCAUGCUAGAUGCCGUGCAGUGAAUUCUAAAUAUUAGUUUUCUUAUUAAACCCUAUAAUGAAAAUAAAAUACUCAGUGAAUUAGUCAGAGCAGCUGUGAUCAAAAAGAGGACUGGUGUGCCUUUAAAGGAGAAAUGUUCAUGUUUGAUGAUUAUAAAAAUGGAGUGUUGACCAAAGGUGGGAAGCAUUAAAAAUGAAGAUAUCCUGGUUCAAUUAAUGAAGGUUUACAUCUACCUUCCUGUGUCAUGAGCUAUAUAUAUCAGAACCCAGUGGAGGAAGAGCCUCUGAAAUUAUCUGCCAAGGACCAAUCAAAUCCUGGAUCACAGUGAAUCACGGGGAGACUGACAGACUAAGUAGGAGUGGGCUGGUGACUGAGAGGAACCUCAAAGCUGUCACCGAUUGUUCUCCAUGAUAUGGGAUGUUCUUAAACAGAGCAUCGUAGUGACCAAGAGCUUGACUUCAGGGUUACAUUUUUAAAUGUUUAAAGCUCAAAUUAGCCAUUUAAUAGGUGGAGCUAUAAUACAGAUUACCUUCCCAAGAUCUAUUUUUCUAUCAAUGAAAUAUAGAUUGUAAUAAAAUUCAAUUAAAUUAGACAGUAAUAUCUAAUUCAUAAGAUUUUCUUGUGUGUACAGUGUCAGUUAUAUUUAUCAUGGUACCUGG